GGCAGGGCUGGGGGCUGAAGUCUCAAGGCCUGGAAGGGUCUUUUAACUUUGGCACUGACCCUGUCUGCAAUUCCCUCUUCCCACAAUCUCCCAGGGCCUGUGAACUGUGGGUGAUGCGGCUAAAGCAACUUGAACUUUGACGCCAUGUCUUUGAUUUCUCUGGAUCCCUCACAGCUGGUUACAAAAGUGGAAGUUGCAUAUGAAUGAAGCCACUCCCUGACCAGCUCCAGUCUCAAUUUCCUGGACUGCUCCAGCCCAUGCUGACUUCCUCCCCUCUGAAUUCCUGUUAUGUGUAUGGACACCAAUCACCAUUCUGAACUUAGUCAUCCGGGGUCUGCCACCUUGAAUCACGUAAUCUUUAUCUCCCUCAUGGAGGAAAGAAGACUUCUUUAAUUCUCUUAUUUUCCCAUGGACCCCCCUCCGCCCACACGCAGGCAAUUGGGAGAGUCUCCACAACUACUCCUUGAAUGAACAGCAAGGGGUUCCAGGAGUGCCGUGGUAGUGGGUGGGGUGGGACAGGGUUGACCACAGGCGUGUCUCCAACCAAAAACAUUUGGGGAACACAAGUGUUUCUAAAGAUGCUCCUGCCUGCCACCCCCCCCCCAUCUGUUCUUCAGUCCCUCCCCUCCUGCUGGGGAAUCAGUGACCUCAUAUCCACAAGCCCUGACGGCCCAACUCAUCCUGUCCCUUAACCUGGAACAAGUAAAAGGAACUUUUAAAAAAUGUCACCCUAAGGGGUGCCUGGGUGGCUCAGUCUUUGAGGGUCCUACUUCGGCUCAGGUCAUGAUCUCAUAGCUCGGGGGGUUCAAUCCCUGCGUUGGGCUCUGUCCUGACAGUCGGAGCCUGGAGCCUGCUUCAGAUUCUGGGUCUCCCUCUUUCUCUGCCCCUAACCCACUCGCAUUCUGUCUCUGUCUCUCUCAAAAAUAAACAUUAAAAAAAAUU